UACAGAGGUCUCAAGCGUUGUUCGGAUUCAUUGGGCGUAAAGGGUGCGUAGGUGGCGCCGUAAGUCAGGUGUGAAAUUUCGGAGCUUAACUCCGAAACUGCAUUCGAUACUGCGGUGCUUGAGGACUGGAGAGGAGACUGGAAUUCAUGGUGUAGCAGUGAAAUGCGUAGAGAUCAUGAGGAAGACCAGUGGCGAAGGCGGGUCUCUGGACAGUUCCUGACGCUGAGGCACGAAAGCGUGGGGAGCAAACAGG
rnacentral:rRNA from 1 species